AGCCAAGGGAACGGGCUUGGCAGA
rnacentral:ncRNA from 6 species